UUGAACGCUGGCGGCAUGCUUUACACAUGCAAGUCGAGCGGUAACAGGCCUUCGGGUGCUGACGAGUGGCGAACGGGUGAGUAAUGCAUCGGAACGUACCCAGAGGUGGGGGAUAACGCAGCGAAAGCUGUGCUAAUACCGCAUGUGAUCUGAGGAUGAAAGCGGGGGACCGAGCAGCAAUGUUUGGCCUCGCGCCUUUGGAGCGGCCGAUGUCGGAUUAGCUAGUUGGUGGGGUAAAGGCCUACCAAGGCGACGAUCCGUAGCUGGUCUGAGAGGACGACCAGCCACACUGGGACUGAGACACGGCCCAGACUCCUACGGGAGGCAGCAGUGGGGAAUUUUGGACAAAGGGCGCAAGCCUGAUCCAGCAAUGCCGCGUGCGGGAAGAAGGCCUUCGGGUUGUAAACCGCUUUUGGCAGGAACGAAACGGUGUCCGCUAAUACCGGGCGCUAAUGACGGUACCUGCAGAAUAAGCACCGGCUAACUACGUG
rnacentral:rRNA from 1 species